rnacentral:rRNA from 1 species
AGCGUACACGGUGGAUGCCCUGGCAGUCAGAGGCGAUGAAGGACGUGCUAAUCUGCGAUAAGCGUCGGUAAGGUGAUAUGAACCGUUAUAACCGGCGAUUUCCGAAUGGGGAAACCCAGUGUGAUUCGUCACACUAUCAUUAACUGAAUCCAUAGGUUAAUGAGGCGAACCGGGGGAACUGAAACAUCUAAGUACCCCGAGGAAAAGAAAUCAACCGAGAUUCCCCCAGUAGCGGCGAGCGAACGGGGAGCAGCCCAGAGCCUGAAUCAGUGUGUGUGUUAGUGGAAGCGUCUGGAAAGGCGCGCGAUACAGGGUGACAGCCCCGUACACAAAAAUGCACAUGCUGUGAGCUCGAUGAGUAGGGCGGGACACGUGGUAUCCUGUCUGAAUAUGGGGGGACCAUCCUCCAAGGCUAAAUACUCCUGACUGACCGAUAGUGAACCAGUACCGUGAGGGAAAGGCGAAAAGAACCCCGGCGAGGGGAGUGAAAAAGAACCUGAAACCGUGUACGUACAAGCAGUGGGAGCCUCUUUAUGGGGUGACUGCGUACCUUUUGUAUAAUGGGUCAGCGACUUAUAUUCUGUAGCAAGGUUAACCGAAUAGGGGAGCCGAAGGGAAACCGAGUCUUAACUGGGCGUUAAGUUGCAGGGUAUAGACCCGAAACCCGGUGAUCUAGCCAUGGGCAGGUUGAAGGUUGGGUAACACUAACUGGAGGACCGAACCGACUAAUGUUGAAAAAUUAGCGGAUGACUUGUGGCUGGGGGUGAAAGGCCAAUCAAACCGGGAGAUAGCUGGUUCUCCCCGAAAGCUAUUUAGGUAGCGCCUCGUGAAUUCAUCUCCGGGGGUAGAGCACUGUUUCGGCAAGGGGGUCAUCCCGACUUACCAACCCGAUGCAAACUGCGAAUACCGGAGAAUGUUAUCACGGGAGACACACGGCGGGUGCUAACGUCCGUCGUGAAGAGGGAAACAACCCAGACCGCCAGCUAAGGUCCCAAAGUCAUGGUUAAGUGGGAAACGAUGUGGGAAGGCCCAGACAGCCAGGAUGUUGGCUUAGAAGCAGCCAUCAUUUAAAGAAAGCGUAAUAGCUCACUGGUCGAGUCGGCCUGCGCGGAAGAUGUAACGGGGCUAAACCAUGCACCGAAGCUGCGGCAGCGACGCUUAUGCGUUGUUGGGUAGGGGAGCGUUCUGUAAGCCUGUGAAGGUGUACUGUGAGGUAUGCUGGAGGUAUCAGAAGUGCGAAUGCUGACAUAAGUAACGAUAAAGCGGGUGAAAAGCCCGCUCGCCGGAAGACCAAGGGUUCCUGUCCAACGUUAAUCGGGGCAGGGUGAGUCGACCCCUAAGGCGAGGCCGAAAGGCGUAGUCGAUGGGAAACAGGUUAAUAUUCCUGUACUUGGUGUUACUGCGAAGGGGGGACGGAGAAGGCUAUGUUAGCCGGGCGACGGUUGUCCCGGUUUAAGCAUGUAGGCGGAGGUUCCAGGUAAAUCCGGUACCUUAUUAACGCUGAGGUGUGAUGACGAGGCACUACGGUGCUGAAGUAACAAAUGCCCUGCUUCCAGGAAAAGCCUCUAAGCAUCAGGUAACAUCAAAUCGUACCCCAAACCGACACAGGUGGUCAGGUAGAGAAUACCAAGGCGCUUGAGAGAACUCGGGUGAAGGAACUAGGCAAAAUGGUGCCGUAACUUCGGGAGAAGGCACGCUGAUAUGUAGGUGAAGUCCCUCGCGGAUGGAGCUGAAAUCAGUCGAAGAUACCAGCUGGCUGCAACUGUUUAUUAAAAACACAGCACUGUGCAAACACGAAAGUGGACGUAUACGGUGUGACGCCUGCCCGGUGCCGGAAGGUUAAUUGAUGGGGUUAGCGGUAACGCGAAGCUCUUGAUCGAAGCCCCGGUAAACGGCGGCCGUAACUAUAACGGUCCUAAGGUAGCGAAAUUCCUUGUCGGGUAAGUUCCGACCUGCACGAAUGGCGUAAUGAUGGCCAGGCUGUCUCCACCCGAGACUCAGUGAAAUUGAACUCGCUGUGAAGAUGCAGUGUACCCGCGGCAAGACGGAAAGACCCCGUGAACCUUUACUAUAGCUUGACACUGAACAUUGAGCCUUGAUGUGUAGGAUAGGUGGGAGGCUUUGAAGUGUGGACGCCAGUCUGCAUGGAGCCGACCUUGAAAUACCACCCUUUAAUGUUUGAUGUUCUAACGUUGGCCCCUGAUCGGGGUUGCGGACAGUGUCUGGUGGGUAGUUUGACUGGGGCGGUCUCCUCCUAAAGAGUAACGGAGGAGCACGAAGGUUGGCUAAUCCUGGUCGGACAUCAGGAGGUUAGUGCAAUGGCAUAAGCCAGCUUGACUGCGAGCGUGACGGCGCGAGCAGGUGCGAAAGCAGGUCAUAGUGAUCCGGUGGUUCUGAAUGGAAGGGCCAUCGCUCAACGGAUAAAAGGUACUCCGGGGAUAACAGGCUGAUACCGCCCAAGAGUUCAUAUCGACGGCGGUGUUUGGCACCUCGAUGUCGGCUCAUCACAUCCUGGGGCUGAAGUAGGUCCCAAGGGUAUGGCUGUUCGCCAUUUAAAGUGGUACGCGAGCUGGGUUUAGAACGUCGUGAGACAGUUCGGUCCCUAUCUGCCGUGGGCGCUGGAGAACUGAGGGGGGCUGCUCCUAGUACGAGAGGACCGGAGUGGACGCAUCACUGGUGUUCGGGUUGUCAUGCCAAUGGCACUGCCCGGUAGCUAAAUGCGGAAGAGAUAAGUGCUGAAAGCAUCUAAGCACGAAACUUGCCCCGAGAUGAGUUCUCCCUGACUCCUUGA